AGUGAACGCUGGCGGUAGGCCUAACACAUGCAAGUCGAACGGCAGCACAGGAGAGCUUGCUCUCUGGGUGGCGAGUGGCGGACGGGUGAGGAAUACAUCGGAAUCUACUUUUUCGUGGGGGAUAACGUAGGGAAACUUACGCUAAUACCGCACACGACCUACGGGUGAAAGCAGGGGAUCUUCGGACCUUGCGCGAUUGAAUGAGCCGGUGUCGGAUUAGGUAGUUGGCGGGGUAAAGGCCCACCAAGGCGACGAGCCGUAGCUGGUCUGAGAGGAUGAUCAGCCACACUGGAACUGAGACACGGUCCAGACUCCUACGGGAGGCAGCAGUGGGGAAUAUUGGACAAUGGGCGCAAGCCUGAUCCAGCCAUACCGCGUGGGUGAAGAAGGCCUUCGGGUUGUAAAGCCCUUUUGUUGGGAAAGAAAUCCAGCUGGUUAAUACCCGGUUGGGAUGACGGUACCCAAAGAAUAAGCACCGGCUAACUUCGUGCCAGCCGCCGCCGUAA
rnacentral:rRNA from 1 species